UUUUCCAGCGUUAUCUAUGCGAUUGUGGGAAAAACUCCACAGUUAAGCGCGCUUGAGCCAGAGGCGUCUUGGGAUGGGUGACCACCUGGGAAGUCCUGGUUGCUGGGUGCA
rnacentral:rRNA from 1 species